rnacentral:rRNA from 1 species
CAGUAGCCGCGGGAAUACGUAGGGUGCGAGCGUUAAUCGGAAUUACUGGGCGUAAAGCGUGCGCAGGCGGUUGUGUAAGACAGGUGUGAAAUCCCCGGGCUUAACCUGGGAACUGCGCUUGUGACUGCACAGCUAGAGUAUGGCAGAGGGGGGUGGAAUUCCACGUGUAGCAGUGAAAUGCGUAGAGAUGUGGAGGAACACCGAUGGCGAAGGCAGCCCCCUGGACCUGUACUGACGCUCAUGCACGAAAGCGUGGGGAGCAAACAGGAUUAGAGACCCCUGUAGUCCCUGUCUCUUAUAC